CAGCCGCCACGGGAAUACGAAGGGGGCUAGCGUUGUUCGGAUUUACUGGGCGUAAAGGGCGCGUAGGCGGACUGAUAAGUCAGGGGUGAAAUCCCAAGGCUCAACCUUGGAACUGCCUUUGAUACUGUUUGUCUUGAGUUCGAGAGAGGUAAGUGGAACUGCGAGUGUAGAGGUGAAAUUCGUAGAUAUUCGCAAGAACACCAGUGGCGAAGGCGGCUUACUGGCUCGAUACUGACGCUGAGGCGCGAAAGCGUGGGGAGCAAACAGGAUUAGAUACCCCGGUAGUCCCUGUCUCUUAUAC
rnacentral:rRNA from 1 species